rnacentral:rRNA from 1 species
CCUACGGGAGGCAGCAGUGGGGAAUAUUGCACAAUGGGGAAACCCUGAUGCAGCGACGCCGCGGGAGUGAAGAAGUAUUUCGGUAUGUAAAGCUCUAUCAGCCGGGAAGAAAAUGACGGUACCUGAUUCAGCCGCCCCGGCUAACUACGUGCCAGCAGCCGCGGUAAUACGUAGGGGGCAAGCGUUAUCCGGAUUUACUGGGUGUAAAGGGAGCGUAGACGGCAGCACAAGUCUGGAGUGAAAUGCCGGGGCUUAACCCCGGAACUGCUUUGGAAACUGUGCAGCUAGAGUGCAGGAGAGGUAAGUGGAAUGCCUGGUGUAGCGGUGAAAUGCGUAGAUAUUAGGAGGAACACCAGUGGCGAAGGCGGCUUACUGGACUGUAACUGACGUUGAGGCUCGAAAGCGUGGGGAGCAAACAGGAUUAGAUACCCCGGUAGUC